rnacentral:antisense_RNA from 1 species
CUUGACCGAGCCCAGCCACAGGGGCCGGUCGGCGGGGCGGCCCUGACCGUAGGUCGCGAUCAGCGCCUGGGCCUC